ACGAACGCUGGCGGCGUGCUUAACACAUGCAAGUCGAGCGGUAAGGCCCUUUCGGGGGUACACGAGCGGCGAACGGGUGAGUAACACGUGGGUGACCUGCCCUCAGCUCUGGGAUAAGCCUGGGAAACCGGGUCUAAUACCGGAUAUGACUCCAUGACGCAUGUUGUGGGGUGGAAAGCCUUGUGCGGCUGAGGAUGGGCCCGCGGCCUAUCAGCUCGUUGGUGGGGUGAUGGCCUACCAAGGCGACGACGGGUAGCCGGCCUGAGAGGGCGACCGGCCACACUGGGACUGAGACACGGCCCAGACUCCUACGGGAGGCAGCAGUGGGGAAUCUUGCGCAAUGGGCGAAAGCCUGACGCAGCGACGCCGCGUGAGGGAUGACGGCCU
rnacentral:rRNA from 1 species